GCCUUUAUAGCUUAACGGUAGAGCAUAAUACUGUUAAUAUUAUGAUAGAGGUUUGAUUUCUCUUAAGGGCU